UGGGGAAUAUUGCGCAAUGGGGGAAACCCUGACGCAGCAACGCCGCGUGAAGGAAGAAGGUCUUCGGAUCGUAAACUUUUGUCUUUAGGGAAGAUAGUGACGGUACCUAAGGAGGAAGCCACGGCUAACUACGUGCCAGCAGCCGCGGUAAUACGUAGGUGGCAAGCGUUGUCCGGAUUUACUGGGUGUAAAGGGUGCGUAGACGGGUUCAUUAGUCAGAUGUGAAAUACCGAGGCUCAACCUCGGGGCUGCAUUUGAAACUGUGAAUCUUGAGUGUCGGAGAGGAAAGCGGAAUUCCUAGUGUAGCGGUGAAAUGCGUAGAUAUUAGGAGGAACACCAGUGGCGAAGGCGGCUUUCUGGACGAUAACUGACGUUGAGGCACGAAAGCGUGGGGAGCAAACAGG
rnacentral:rRNA from 1 species